UCAAAUGAGGUACAAGUCCGGAAAACCUGAGGCACGUGCCGGAGGGGACACCUGCAAGGGAGCUCACCGCCACACGGUCCGGAAGAACAAAAGCGCGCAAAGCCCUAAAUGCCCAGUGGCAGGGGCCGGAUAAGUGCACCGUGGCACCGUCAUACCGGGGAAAGCCAGCCGGCCGAGCAGUGAACCUAGAGUUACAUGUGUCUGGGGACACACGUGAAGGGGACACGCCCACAGUGCUGAGCGACACGAGCACCUCACGCCACUUACAGGAGGGGUGAACUCACAAAAACAAUCCUGGGCACUUUUGGCAUUACUUCUGUGCAAUAAAGGUGCAAAUGAGGGAGGGGGCUUUGACUGUGACUGUAUUCGUGUUGCAUGAAGCUCUUGUGGGCACUUGGCUCUUGCGGUCCUUCCUCGUCUCUAUUUCUACGCUCGGAACACUUCAGAUCCGGCAGCGAUAGCAGGGACACAACGUAAGACGCGUUGCGCAUAACUUCACACGUAAGCAUAUAACUUAACGUUAGCUAGAUAACAGCUACUGACGGAACACGACGUGACGUAUCGUGACGCAGAGCACGUUCACGUGACCACGUCAAUAGAACACAACGAUGCGAUCAGCGAAAAGUCAUAAAUACUGAUCACAACAGCAACAACUCAGCGAGGGGCCGGAGAAGGGGCGUCCCUCCGCAACACCCCAGCGGCGGCUGGCUCCGGGCCCGGUGAGCGUGAGCCGUGAGCUACCGAGGGGAAACUCCCAGAGGUCAACCCCGCGGGCUCUGCUGGAAAGCCGAGCCGACUCAUGGACUCCAGGGGCACGGCGGAGGCAACUGGGCAAAAGGACCAUCUCCGCGCCCUCCCGAGUCCCAGACACCCCUCCGGCCCGCAGCUUCCACUUAAGACUCCCACGCCUGCCCAUCCCCAGGUGGUGGAGAGGUCCCACCGAGCAGCAGGGGCUGCCAGUGCCUCCCGGCAGCCCUGAGCUGAAGCCGUGCUCUGGGACAAAGCCGGGGCCUGCUGUGGGAGGCAGGGAGAGACCACCCGGGUGCCCUUGAGGCGCUGGAGCCAGAGACGCCCAGCUGGGAGCCCGGGACGACCGCCUCACACUUCUCCGCUGCGACGAUGUUCCAUGCCACAGCUGGAGGAGACAGACACCUGGAUCUUCACGUCCAGGACCUCGAGGCCCGCCUCUGUGGGGGGCCUCACUUGCAUGCGUUUGGGGGCCCUGACCCAGAGGCCAGCUUGGCAGUCAGUGGGGAGCCACAGCAAGUCCUAAACCCCUCGAAGAUGGGCAAAAGGCCGCCCUGCGCAGGGCAGCAAGAAGCAAGAGACUAACCACAGCAAGGGCUCCUGAGCUCCCAGGAGGGAAAGGUGAACCCUAGGCCGGGCAGUUGGACCUGUUCCUGAUGGAGGCUUGUCAGCCACUCUGCUCGCCCGGAGGUCUGCCUGGACCUGAGCAGGAGCCGCCCCCAGGGACACAGCAGCAGCCACGUCCCUGUCACUGUCCCGCCCCACUCCCGCUCUCAGAAGCCCACCAUUUCCGACAACUUGGCCAGCAAGCCAUGGCCCAGGCAAGCCCUGCUCCCUCAGGAGCUCCGGUCUGACGAGAAGAAAAGCACACUCUGGUGUGAGGAUGUGUUUGGCGUGUGGCAUGUGGGUGGAGACCAGCGGGCCGGAUGCUCAGAGCACGGACCAGUCUUUCCAGCGGGUGGCCAAAGGAGAUGGCAAGCAUAAAGACACAAACAGGAAGUGGACAGGGAGACCGGGCUGGGGUGGGGUGGGGAAGGGAAGGUACAAGGCAGUACAAGGUAGCCGGCUGGGCGGACACACCGGUCGGACUGGAGUGUGCCACCCACAAAGGGAAGGGGUGGGACUUAAAACCGGGACCAGGCAGGGCUCCAGGAGGCCCUGAAUGCCAGGCCAGCUGGGGAUGUUCAUACUUCCCGCCUGUCCCAGGCUCUGCUUCCUCUAGGCGUGCUGACACCAAAGGUCCGGCAUCUGCACCCACAACCCAUGACGCAACCAUUUGCUCACUAGUGUGCACAAACAUCCGUCUGUCCGUCCAUCCGAUACAACACUGAGUGUCCGGGACAGGCCAGGGGCUGGGCUCAACUGGGCACACGGCAACGGCAGAACUACACGGGGCGCUACCCGCAGAGACUUAGGAUCCAGUGACAAAGACAUCAAUCCCAGCCCUUGACUGGGAAGGCAACUACGCAGGAGUCUGAGAAACAGGAACAGGGGCUCUGACUGCCGGGGGGCUGGGGAGAUGCUGUGGGAAGGCUGAAGGGACACAUGGGAGGGGAACUAAGGUUCACCAGGCCAAGGGCAGGGAGGGCUGCCGGGUGUGGGAGAACAACCCACAGCCUCUGUGACCCUCGGUGGACACGUCACAUCGUCUGACUGGACAGCACUCCCUACGACUGUGAGCCCUGUGGGGACAGUGGCCACGGGGCUGGAGGUCUCAGACACGGGGUGUGUGAGGCCACUGGAGGUGCUCGAUCCCCAGGUGUGGAACUCUGAGCAGCUGGGCAGCGACCCGAUGCUGAGUCAGGUCCUUCGGAGGAAAUCACACAUCUAUUUUCCUGCUGUGGUUGGGAGUCUCCGCGUGACCCCACUCUCAGGGCCCAGUCAGCAGGUUUUUUCUAGGAGCUGAGCGGAAAAGGAAGGUGGAGCUGUCCUCUGGGAUCCUGCGUUCUGGAACCCUGGUUACUGCCUAACAGGAAAUGAGCGGAAAUGUACCCAAACUGCAGUCCUCCUGAGAACUUGCCAGGGGCAGCCUUGAAAGAGCAGCGGAAGAAGCUGCCCCUCACACUUCGCCAGCCAGGAAACGCCAUUAGGGUUGGAGUUCGAGGGUAAAGACGCCUCAGCCGGCCUGCACAGCUCCCAACCCCCGGGGCAGAGAAGGUCUGUGGCUCGAAAACUUCAGCAUCACACUUUCCCUCCAGCCUACAAAUUUUACAAAUUUCACCUUCGAAAUAAGAAACAGAAGACUACUUUCCUCCCGCCAACCCCCCGGCUCCCACUUGCCACAGAGCCAGAACAUGCAACACACUUGCUUCCGAAAUCCCAUGAAAGAAGUGGGCCACGGGGCCAAACCAAAAACUAAGUUUUGGGGUGCCUGGUGGGGGGCUCAGGGGGUUAAGCGUCUGACUCUUGAUUUCGGCUCAGGUCGUGAUCUCACGGUUCACGGGAUCGAGCCCAGCGCCAGGCUCUGGGCGGACAGCUCAGAGCCUGCUUGGGAUUCUCUUGCUCUCUGCCCCUCCCCCGCUUGUUCUCUCUCUAAUAAACAAAUAAAAGCCGUGUUUCCCCA